GACGGGGGGGGCAAGUGUUCUUCGGAAUGACUGGGCGUAAAGCGCACGUAGGCGGACUCUUAAGUCGGUGGUGAAAUCCUGGAGCUCAACUCCAGAACUGCCUUCGAUACUGAGAGUCUCGAGUCCGGGAGAGGUGAGUGGAACUGCGAGUGUAGAGGUGAAAUUCGUAGAUAUUCGCAAGAACACCAGUGGCGAAGGCGGCUCACUGGCCCGGUACUGACGCUGAGGUGCGAAAGCGUGGGGAGCAAACAGG
rnacentral:rRNA from 1 species